GACAGAGGCCCCAAGCGUUAGGCGGAAUCACUGGGCUUAAAGCGUGUGUAGGCGGAUGCCUAAGUACCUUGUGAAAUCCCACGGCUCACCCGUGGAACUGCUUGGUAUACUGGGUGUCUUGAGCCACUUAGGGGCUACCGGAACAAAUGGUGGAGCGGUGAAAUGCGUAGAUAUCAUUUGGAACGCCAAUGGUGAAAACAGGUAGCUGGGAGUGUGCUGACGCUGAGACACGAAAGCCAGGGGAGCAAACGGG
rnacentral:rRNA from 1 species